rnacentral:antisense_RNA from 1 species
UGUGGGAGCGGGCUUGCUCGCGAUACAAGCAACACGGUGCAUCUGCUAAAACGCUGUGAUUUCAUCGCGAGCAAGCCCGCUCCCACA